rnacentral:rRNA from 1 species
GACGAACGCUGGCGGCGUGCUUAACACAUGCAAGUCGAACGGAAAGGCCCUGCUUUUGUGGGGUGCUCGAGUGGCGAACGGGUGAGUAACACGCGAGUAACCUGCCCUUGACUUUGGGAUAACUUCAGGAAACUGGGGCUAAUACCGGAUAGGAGCUCCUGCUGCAUGGUGGGGGUGGGAAAGUUUCGGCGGUUGGGGAUGGACUCGCGGCUUAUCAGCUUGUUGGUGGGGUAGUGGCUUACCAAGGCUUUGACGGGUAGCCGGCCUGAGAGGGUGACCGGCCACAUUGGGACUGAGAUACGGCCCAGACUCCUACGGGAGGCAGCAGUGGGGAAUAUUGCACAAUGGGCGGAAGCCUGAUGCAGCAACGCCGCGUGCGGGAUGACGGCCUUCGGGUUGUAAACCGCUUUCGCCUGUGACGAAGCGUGAGUGACGGUAAUGGGUAAAGAAGCACCGGCUAACUACGUGCCAGCAGCCGCGGUGAUACGUAGGGUGCGAGCGUUGUCCGGAUUUAUUGGGCGUAAAGGGCUCGUAGGUGGUUGAUCGCGUCGGAAGUGUAAUCUUGGGGCUUAACCCUGAGCGUGCUUUCGAUACGGGUUGACUUGAGGAAGGUAGGGGAGAAUGGAAUUCCUGGUGGAGCGGUGGAAUGCGCAGAUAUCAGGAGGAACACCAGUGGCGAAGGCGGUUCUCUGGGCCUUUCCUGACGCUGAGGAGCGAAAGCGUGGGGAGCGAACAGGCUUAGAUACCCUGGUAGUCCACGCUGUAAACGGUGGGUACUAGGUGUGGGGUCCAUUCCACGGGUUCCGUGCCGUAGCUAACGCUUUAAGUACCCCGCCUGGGGAGUACGGCCGCAAGGCUAAAACUCAAAGGAAUUGACGGGGCCCCGCACAAGCGGCGGAGCAUGCGGAUUAAUUCGAUGCAACGCGUAGAACCUUACCUGGGUUUGACAUGGAUCGGGAGUGCUCAGAGAUGGGUGUGCCUCUUUUGGGGUCGGUUCACAGGUGGUGCAUGGCUGUCGUCAGCUCGUGUCGUGAGAUGUUGGGUUAAGUCCCGCAACGAGCGCAACCCUUGUUCACUGUUGCCAGCACGUUAUGGUGGGGACUCAGUGGAGACCGCCGGGGUCAACUCGGAGGAAGGUGGGGAUGACGUCAAGUCAUCAUGCCCCUUAUGUCCAGGGCUUCACGCAUGCUACAAUGGCUGGUACAGAGAGUGGCGAGCCUGUGAGGGUGAGCGAAUCUCGGAAAGCCGGUCUCAGUUCGGAUUGGGGUCUGCAACUCGACCUCAUGAAGUCGGAGUCGCUAGUAAUCGCAGAUCAGCAACGCUGCGGUGAAUACGUUCCCGGGGCU